UACGUAGGUGGCGAGCGUUGUCCGGAUUUACUGGGCGUAAAGAGCGCGCAGGCGGUCGUACAAGUCGCGUGUGAAAGCCCCCGGCUCAACUGGGGAGGGUCACGCGAUACUGUUCGACUCGAAGGCAGGAGAGGGAAGUGGAAUUCCCGGUGUAGUGGUGAAAUGCGUAGAUAUCUGGAGGAACACCGGUGGCGAAGGCGGCAUCCUGGACUACUACUGACGCUGAGGAGCGAAAGCCAGGGGAGCAAACGGG
rnacentral:rRNA from 1 species